AGAGUUUGAUCCUGGCUCAGGAUGAACGCUGGCGGCGUGCCUAAUACAUGCAAGUCGAGCGAACGGACGAGAAGCUUGCUUCUCUGAUGUUAGCGGCGGACGGGUGAGUAACACGUGGAUAACCUACCUAUAAGACUGGGAUAACUUCGGGAAACCGGAGCUAAUACCGGAUAAUAUUUUGAACCGCAUGGUUCAAAAGUAAAAGACGGUCUUGCUGUCACUUAUAGAUGGAUCCGCGCUGCAUUAGCUAGUUGGUAAGGUAACGGCUUACCAAGGCAACGAUGCAUAGCCGACCUGAGAGGGUGAUCGGCCACACUGGAACUGAGACACGGUCCAGACUCCUACGGGAGGCAGCAGUAGGGAAUCUUCCGCAAUGGGCGAAAGCCUGACGGAGCAACGCCGCGUGAGUGAUGAAGGUCUUCGGAUCGUAAAACUCUGUUAUUAGGGAAGAACAUAUGUGUAAGUAACUGUGCACAUCUUGACGGUACCUAAUCAGAAAGCCACGGCUAACUACGUGCCAGCAGCCGCGGUAAUACGUAGGUGGCAAGCGUUAUCCGGAAUUAUUGGGCGUAAAGCGCGCGUAGGCGGUUUUUUAAGUCUGAUGUGAAAGCCCACGGCUCAACCGUGGAGGGUCAUUGGAAACUGGAAAACUUGAGUGCAGAAGAGGAAAGUGGAAUUCCAUGUGUAGCGGUGAAAUGCGCAGAGAUAUGGAGGAACACCAGUGGCGAAGGCGACUUUCUGGUCUGUAACUGACGCUGAUGUGCGAAAGCGUGGGGAUCAAACAGGAUUAGAUACCCUGGUAGUCCACGCCGUAAACGAUGAGUGCUAAGUGUUAGGGGGUUUCCGCCCCUUAGUGCUGCAGCUAACGCAUUAAGCACUCCGCCUGGGGAGUACGACCGCAAGGUUGAAACUCAAAGGAAUUGACGGGGACCCGCACAAGCGGUGGAGCAUGUGGUUUAAUUCGAAGCAACGCGAAGAACCUUACCAAAUCUUGACAUCCUUUGACAACUCUAGAGAUAGAGCCUUCCCCUUCGGGGGACAAAGUGACAGGUGGUGCAUGGUUGUCGUCAGCUCGUGUCGUGAGAUGUUGGGUUAAGUCCCGCAACGAGCGCAACCCUUAAGCUUAGUUGCCAUCAUUAAGUUGGGCACUCUAAGUUGACUGCCGGUGACAAACCGGAGGAAGGUGGGGAUGACGUCAAAUCAUCAUGCCCCUUAUGAUUUGGGCUACACACGUGCUACAAUGGACAAUACAAAGGGCAGCGAAACCGCGAGGUCAAGCAAAUCCCAUAAAGUUGUUCUCAGUUCGGAUUGUAGUCUGCAACUCGACUACAUGAAGCUGGAAUCGCUAGUAAUCGUAGAUCAGCAUGCUACGGUGAAUACGUUCCCGGGUCUUGUACACACCGCCCGUCACACCACGAGAGUUUGUAACACCCGAAGCCGGUGGAGUAACCUUUUAGGAGCUAGCCGUCGAAGGU
rnacentral:rRNA from 1 species